CCUGCGUCUUCAGAUGAUUGCUUCAUAACAACAACCUAGUCCUUCAAAAGAGAUACAUACCUCCCUGCCACAAACAAAAAAUAAAAGUGAAAAAUGAAUAAGAGGCAAAUUAAAAGUCAUGAUCGAAAAAAUAGCAAUCAGUCAUGCAACUCUUUCAACAUAAAAUAAUUGCCAACUUCACAUACCACCCAAUAGAGAAAUUAAAAGUUCACCGGACUAUCCAACAACCAUUUUCAAUUCGAGAAGAAAAAGUUGCAGAUAUAACUAUCGUAGCAUCAUACCACACAUUUGCAGAUAAUAGGGGAGCAAAUAAAAAUGAGAGUUACAAGGAUUACCCAAUCACCAACAACUUAAACAGGCUAACUAGGACUGGAUUGUGGAGAUCUCUUUUUAUCCGAAAAGCAUAGAUAUCAAGACACGCAAGUCCAAAGCUCCAUAAUACUUGAAGCCACAUUGCUGCAAUUAGGUAACUGAAUCCAAAACUAUGGAGUCAAUAGAGACUUAAUAGAACACAUUUGAAAUUGAUUAUGACAACAACUAAUUUCCCACAAUCGAACAGGUGUGCGGCAUAUUUGCAUUAUGAAUAAAAAUGCAAACGAAACACCAGGUUAACAUAAUAUCAAUUUUCAAAGAGUCUGCAUGAUCUAUGCUAAUUGUCAGCUAAGUAACUUACUAACUCAGACCAUUAUGCAGAUUUUGAGACAUUAGAUUAAUCUAAAUCGGGAACCAGCAAGAAAUAUCAGGCAAUUAGAGGAAGAUGUAUACACAUAAGCAUAUUCUCUAAGCUAAAAAAGUAUCAUUUCUUAGCAAAGAAAUGUCCCCAUUAACAAGCAGAAAAUUUUCCAUAUGAAUAUUUAUUCAUCAACAAGAACCAUUUCAUGAGCAACUGAAAAUACAGAAUUACAGACUAUCAUAGGCCCAAAAUUACUCAUACCCCUCCCCUCCCCAAAAAAAGCCUCAAAAACCGAAUUUCCAAAAAUCUAAAUCUAACAAAUUUUAAAAUAAACCUACAAUGAAUAGUCUAUUGCCAUAUUGUCACUAACAAAAAUGUGGCCAUCUGCUAUGGAUAACCCCAGUUCGCACCUUUCCACCAAAACAAUAGUGAGAUAUAACAAUAGUGAGAUAUCAUGCCAAAACUCUUCAAACAAAAAAUUGAAAAAGAAUACAGUAAAUAUCCAACAAUAGACAAAUAACUAAAGAAUAAAGAAAUAUGUGUAAAAGCCAAACCUUGUUCAACCAUUGUGAGUUCGUGCUUCUUCUCCAUAGUUGUCAGCCAAUGUCUGUGAUUCACAUGUCACUGUCUUUGCCAUCUGAAAUUAUAACAAAAUAGGCAUAGAUGACCAUAAACAACCAUUGAGUUAACUUCUUGUCAAACCCUUUAUAACUUUUUGUAUGCAUACAUCAAAACAAGCUCUGAAUCUCAAUGCAAUACGCAACAAUCAACCCAAAAAAUGCUCUAAAAGGAAUAAAUCUAUUACCUCUGCAACAAACAACACAUUUAUCAUAUAGGUUCUUAUUUUUCCAUCCAGUACAAUUCAAUUUUCUCUCAACUACUAGCCGUAGCAAUUAGAUUAAAGAGAUUAAGUAGACCACCACCUACACACCCAAAAAAAGAGAUAAAUUUACUCAAUUUCAAGAUAAUUUUAGUGAAUUGAAUAAAAAUGAGAAAUUUAGGUUUUCGAUAUGUUCAAUGGUAGAUGGAAAUAAUCGAAUUCUCACCCGAUAAAACUACUCGUUUGGGGGUUUCGGAACAACCGUACAAGCGGAGAUGUCUAUGGAAGGCGGCGGGUGCAAGCACGAUUAUGACGGUUUGUGGCGGUUCACGGCAUGUCGAUGAUAGAGUAUGCUUGUGAUGCGGUUGAUUAUUGGCGUCGGUGGAAGAAUUCAAAGUUGGAUGAAAAACUGUUGGUAUACGAUUUCUAGAGGGUUUUCUUUGAUUUUCGUGUAGGUCUGUGUGUGAGGGAGAGAUAGAGACGCCGCCUCACCAUAGCGCCGCCGCGCUCCACCAUAUCCCGCCGCCCUAAUUCCGGCCUCCCUCUGCAACCUGAAAUGGGGGAAACCUUAAGCCCAAUUUUGAAGCAAUGAGCUCCUCCAUUUUCCCCAAUAAAGAGCCCUAUGCUUGCAAUUGGCUACAACAACGACAAGCUCGAGCGGACUCACGCACGCUCCGCCGCCAUCCGCCGCAAGCCCACCGUCGUCUCUACCUUCGUCUCGCCUGAGACCGACUUGUUCCAAAUCUGAAUUUGCAUAUGGAGGCAGGAGACGUUUCUUGAGGGGUUUUCCUUUCGUGGAUGGUGGGAUGCUUUAAAAAAAGGAAAACUUUGGUGGGAAAUUGGGAAUGUUGCCGCCCACAUCUAUUAUAGAUUGUAGAAUUAUUUUAGUUUUUAUAUAAAGUUAUAAUGAUAGAAUUAUGUUUAUUAUAAAAUUAUAAAACACUUAAUACAAG
rnacentral:lncRNA from 1 species